rnacentral:misc_RNA from 1 species
AACGCACCUUGCGCCCCUUGGUAUUCCGAGGGGCAUGCCUGUUUGAGUGUCAUUGUACUCUCUCAACUUUGACCUUUGGAUCUUCUUCCAUGGGGUCUUAGCUUGGAUGAUGGAGGUGUGCUGGCUGCUUGUCGGUCAGCUCCUCUAAAAAGUAUUAGCGAAGAGAAGUGCACUAAUCCUGCGUCUUAUGCUUCUGGCAUUGAUAGUUGUCUAUGCCUCAGGUGGCUGAGAUGCUGUCCGGGAUCGGUCAAUGUCUUUUCUUGCUUACAGUCGUGUCGUAAUAUUUAUGACCCUUUGACCAAUCACCUCAAAUCAGGUAGGACUACCCGCUGAACUUAA